UUACAUGAUGAAUCUUGUUAUUCACACUGUUUGAUCCUGCACGCCAUGUGUUCGGAAAUGAACAUGUUACAAAAAAAUCUGAUUUAAUGAGGUUAGUU
rfam:Aspergillus niger DNA, contig: scaffold669_006, strain: An76, whole genome shotgun sequence.